GUUGGGUCUUUGUUGCUGCCUGUGGGCUUUCUCUAGUUGCGGCGAUCCGGGGCUACUCUUCCUUGCGGCUCUAAAAAGCAGUUCAACAUGACGUAGGAAGAGCCUGAACUCAUCUCCUCCCAGAGACACACCAAGUCUACAGCUACUAAUGGUACAGUUCACUCCGAAAAAGACGUGAAAAUUAGCUGAGUAACUCCUUCACAUCAGCAAACACAUCAAAGCAGGCCACAUUGCUCUGCUUGUGGGAUCAAUCCCUUUCUCCCGGCAGUGGAACCACUGGACCACCAAGGAGUUCCCCCAUUAGGCAAUGUUCUUCAACAGUGGGAUAUUUUGCAUUUUGUAAUGUAUAACCCAAAGCACAUUUCAUUACAAAUUCCCAACGUGAAUUCAGAAAUCACAUAGAAUAACUGUCUAGUUGUAAUUCUUUAUGACUGGGAUGUUUUGAUGAAUACAGUGUCUCUUUGCUGCAUACCAUGUGUUAAAAAUUUAGAAAACCUAAUACCUAGACUACACCAUUGUCAUUAUUUCCCUGCCCCCAAUAUAGCUGCAUUUUCAGAAUGAUGCUUUGGCCUUAUUUUCUUAUACAGAUAGCUGAAAUGAAAACAUGUAACAUUUGAAAUGGCUUUAUAUAAUAUUUAUAAAGCAGUUCAAUGCCCUCUUACAAAGUCUCCUAUAAGUAUUUCUCUUAGCACUAGGGGUCUUAAUAAAAUUUGCUUUCCCAAAUAAACUACUAUACUUCUGUCCAUCAAUAAGAGCUAUGUAUUGUAUUUCCUUCUUUGUCCUGUUUUU